GAUUCAUAAUAUUCAGAUGAGGUGGUGCAAUUUUUUAGAAUAACUAAAACAAAGAUAUGCUGACAAAAAUGUUAUGAUGUUAAUUCUGAUCCCUUGUGAUGAUGUUGAUUAUACUACCUUAACAAUGAUUAUAGAAAAAUUUAGAGGUUGUGAAUUUUCAUAGUUGCUGUCUAAAUCAACAUGUUUUCUCAUUUGUAAAACUUCAGAGGGGUUUCAUAGCUAUAGCUUACAAAAGAGAGCAUAACUCCAAAGAGCAGAGACAAGCUUACAAUGGGGGAGGAAAUUAUUCCUAGUCCCACAAAUGUCAUACUAAAGUCAAGAUAAAAUAUGCGUAAAAUAAAUUCAUCCAACAAGAUUAAUAACAAGUGAAUGGAUGCUUAGAUGAUGGUAAGGUUUUAGAUAAGCUUGGUUUUGAGGUAAAGAAAUAUUCUUUCUGCAUUCAUGCUUGCAUUUCUCAAAUUCUUUUGUUGACUUUGGUUUUGAAUGCGCAUAUUGGCAAUUAUUUGAAUUUGGAUAUUCUGUAGGUUAUGUUUAUGGAAUCAUUUGUAGGCACGUAUUAGCAUUCUUCAGGGCAAAAAAUGUUCUUUCACUUCCACCUUAUUAUGUGUUGAAACGCUGGACAAGGAAUGCGAAAACUAGUGUGUUGUUAGACGAACACGCAUAUGAGCUACCUAGUAGUUCUCGUGAGUCUACGAGAGUACGUUACAAUAAUUUACGUCAAGAAGAAAUCAAUUAUGUGGAAGAAGGUGCUAAAUCAAUCCAAACAUAUCAUGUUGCAAUGAAAGCUUUUCUUUGGGGUAUACUGAGAGUUAUCUCCUCUGAGAAGCUUUGCUCUAGGGUCAUCUAAGUUUGAAUAAGUUGAAGCAAUUGGCUCUUCACCUAACAAAUUUGAAGUCCUUGUAGUACUCUGUUUUGAAACCAGUUGUACAUACAAGAUCUGCAGCCCCAUCGCAUGGCUCUCAAGACUUAAGCAUAAGCUUUCCUACGAUGAGACCUUAUUUCGAACGAAAAGGUUGUAUGUCAAAAAACUCAACAUUAUGUUAGUUCAGGUAAACACCGCAAUUAUUGUGUUCAAUGGUUGAUUGGAGUCAACAACAGGAACCAUAGUUACAUUAUAUUCUUCCCUACAAAUUAUGGCUUUCAAUCUGGUAUAAUACUCUAUCAUGCUUUUUUACAUAUUUCAUUCCCGAUUAUGACAUAUCAAAACCAAACAUUGCAGUGUUUGUCUGAGCUAUGUUCCAUCCUUCAAGUUUUGAUAUUUUUACUUGAACUUUUUAUAGAAAUAUUCACUUUUGAUGUUUGCAGGUGGCAUCCCUUCAUUUUGGGAUUAUUAUGAUGUGCAGUAUGUCAAGAUGUGUGAUAUAUUCAUUAGCCAAUUGCAAGUGUGUAAAAAUGUUGCUUGGCUGAGGCUGAUGUCUUUAAGCUGCAUUGCAUACUAUAUCAUAUUUGGACUCAUUCAAGAAUACUCCUUCAUUAUUGGUUUGCUUGCUUGGUGUUAUGCUCUUUGAUAAGAGAUCUAUUGCAAACAUUUCUAAUACUUCGCCAAAGGUUGUCUAUCAUGAUACUUCAAAGAUGUUGAUAUACAAUCCGAGUA